AGCAGUAGCCGCGGUAAUACGUAGGUCCCGAGCGUUGUCCGGAUUUAUUGGGCGUAAAGGGAGCGCAGGCGGUUUAGUAAGUCUGAAGUUAAAGGCAUUGGCUCAACCAAUGUAUGCUUUGGAAACUGUUAGACUUGAGUGCAGAAGGGGAGAGUGGAAUUCCAUGUGUAGCGGUGAAAUGCGUAGAUAUAUGGAGGAACACCGGUGGCGAAAGCGGCUCUCUGGUCUGUCACUGACGCUGAGGCUCGAAAGCGUGGGUAGCGAACAGGAUUAGAUACCCCCGUAGUCCCUGUCUCUAUACAC
rnacentral:rRNA from 1 species